rnacentral:rRNA from 1 species
UACGGGGGGUGCAAGCGUUGUCCGGAUUUACUGGGCGUAAAGGGCUCGUAGGCGGUUUGUCGCGUCGGGAGUGAAAACACCGGGCUUAACUCGGUGCUUGCUUUCGAUACGGGCAGACUAGAGGUAUGCAGGGGAGAACGGAAUUCCUGGUGUAGCGGUGAAAUGCGCAGAUAUCAGGAGGAACACCGGUGGCGAAGGCGGUUCUCUGGGCAUUACCUGACGCUGAGGAGCGAAAGUGUGGGGAGCGAACAGG